rnacentral:lncRNA from 1 species
UGAUUUCAAUAAUUGCAUUCAGCAAUCAGGACUAGUUGAGCUGCCAUGGAAGGGAAAUUAUUUUACCUGGUCUAAUCAACAAAGUGGUAAUGAUAGAGUUUGUAGUAGACUGGAUAGAGUGUUUGGUAAUUUUGAAUGGCAGAUGAAGUGGAACCAUAUGCAUACUAUAUAUGGCCAUCCCCUCAUAUCUGAUCAUAAUCCCAUGUUACUAACCUUGACAACAGAUAUAUCUACAAGGAAAACACCAUUCAGAUUCUUUAAUGCUUGGAUCCAGCAUAAGGAAUUUCAGGCUAUUCUUUCAACUUACUGGAAAACCAAGGAGCAGAAUACUCUUCAAGGAGUAUGGAAUAAUCUUAAGUCUCUCAAACCUCCCUUAAAAUCUCUUAAUAUUAGAGAUUUUAAGAAUAUUUC